rnacentral:lncRNA from 1 species
UCAGAAGUUGAUGAAGAGCCACCAAGGUCAGCAGUUCGGAACUUCCCCUCAGAAAUUGUGCCGAGGAUCGCAUUUUGGAUCCGAUCAGCUUUAUCAUGGAGCUCCAAAUGGCGUAGCAUUGUAACAGCACUCAGAAGCAGGGCAGUUGGGUUGGCCAAAUUCUACGAAAUUUCAAUCAAAUAAUGAAUUAGGAGGAAACGUAUUGAUAAAAGAUAAUUCUACGGGAGAGCUUCAUAAGUAAUGAAACAAAUCGCAAUAAAAUGUAAUCAAUGAUUUGAAUCCUAGAAUGGCUUUCAUUAUCAUGGUACACCACGACAUAACUCUGAGCAACAAAUUUCAGAGCUUGCCUCCAAUCCACUCAUGGGACCAGAUGUGCCAAACACCGCCAGAGUACCCAAAAGGAUAAGAGGCCUUUCGGAAUCUUGGUAGUGUAAAAAACAAAUCUAUGCAGAAUCUCAGGCAGAAGGCAACAGAAGAAAAGCGUCCAAAGCAUUCAAUUUCAUGCAACUUUUGUUACAAGGAAAGACAAUUCCUCCCAUCCAAGGGCCACACCAAGUUUGUUUCUAUGUUAAUCCUCUUAAGGACGGCUACAUCUACAGUUAGUAAAUACCAAACUAUGGGAUUGAAGUUGGGACAGAUGAGAAGAUCCUCUCCCUGAAGAAAAAGACACUCGGGCCUAACACAAAGCGUUUUCCUUAACUGCGGAGAAUGGAUUUAUAUAUAAAGUAAAUUGAACGUCUAAAGGUUCAGGAAUGCCAACCUUUCCAGCAAUAUCAGGUGCUGAACCAUGUACAGCUUCAGCAAGGGCUAUGCCUCCC